CUCCCGUCCGGGUCCGGCGCUGCGGGUCUCAGGGUCCGCGUCCCGCCCACCCCGCGGGGGUCUGGGCUGCGGGCGGAGCCUCCUCCGGGACCUGCACCUGCGCCGGCCGCCGCCAGGGGCGCCGCUGAGCACCCGCCUCCGCCGCUUCCCCCUCCCCGCCGGGCGGGGCCGCGCGCCUCCCACCCGGGACCCACUUCGGAGUUCGCCCCCUUCGGGACUCGCCUCCGGGAGACCCCCGAGGGGGAGAGGGCGCUUCCUCCGCGUCCAUCGCCCUUGCCGCCCCUGGGUGGAACUGUUUUACAAAUCUGAGGGCCACCAUUCCAGGUAUGGCUAGCCUCCCGUUGGAAAAUUUUUACCAUCUUUCUUCAAUGUAGUUCUUAUUCUUGUGGGCAAACCAAGACUUUUCGUUUGGAGGGGACCUUGGGAUCCCCAGGAGGGGAAUCUCCGGGAGCGGGAGGCAUAGCUAAGGCUUCCUCUCUAGAAGGUGGAGUUGUCGUUGCAGCCCGUUUGCCUCUUCGUCUGCCUUUCUGCUUUGCUGCUUUUCGGGGCCUCCUGCAGCGCAUCACUGCCACCUCUUCCAGGGCCCACACAGCGUUUAACAGAGGUGGAAUUUCCUCCUUAUACUUUGUUUUUUCACUUCCAGCCGUUAAAAGUCUUUUAUUCUUUGUAAACAGCCUCAUGAACAUGCAAAGUGGCAGAAGCAUAUUUGGAAUCUGUGUAAAUACUUGCCUUCUGCUCUUUUCCUAGCCAGAGAGCUCUUGUCAGAGCUAUUAGCUCUGCUUUCUAAGCAGAAGUUUCUGCAGACAGAGACGGUACCUCUACUGCUGAGUCCAAAGUCACCGCGGCAUACCCAGCUCGGCAGACUCCCCUUAGUACGAAACUGCUUCCAUCAGUAAAAUAUUCAAUGUCCAGGUCCCCGAGGGGCCAAUCUGUUAAAUCUUUCCAGCUUGAGAACACUUUAUCUACCACGUCCACACAGCAAUGAAGGGGACUUCCUGUGUAGGGUCCAGCCCUACGGGGGCUUAGCGGGUGUUCUCCCCGUGUGCAGAGACAAGAGAUCGUAAGAAAUAAAGACACAAGACAAACAGAUAAAGAGAAAACAGCUGGGCCCAGGGGACCACUACCACCAAGACAUGGAGACCGCUAGUGGCUCCGAACGGCUGGCUGCGCUGAUAUUUAUUGAAUACAAGACAAGGGGGCAGGGUACGGACGGUGAGUCGUCCAAGUAAUUGAUAAGGUGAAGCAAGUCACGUGAUCAUAGGACAGGGGGCCUUUCCCUCUUAGGUAGCCGAGCAGAGAGAGAAGGCAGCAUACGUCAGCGUUUUCUUCUAUGCACUUAUAAGAACAAUCAAAGACUUUAAGACUUUCACUAUUUCUUCUACCGCUAUCUACUACGAACUUCAAAGAGGAACCAGGAGUACGGGAAGAGCAUGAAAGUGGACAAGGAGUGUGAUCAUUCAAGCACCACAGGGAGGGGGUUAGGCCUCCGGAUGACUGCAGGCCAGGCCUGGAGAAUAUCCAGCCUCCCACAAGAAGCUGGCGGAGCAGAGUGUUCCCUGACUCCUCCAAGGAAAGGAGACUCCCUUUCACGGUCGGCUAAGUAACGGGUGCCUUCCCAGGCACUGGCGUUACCGCUUGACCAAGGAGCCCUCAAGCGGCCCUUAUGUUGGCGUGACAGAGGGCUCACCUCUUGCCUUCUAGGUCACUUCUCACAACGUCCCUUCAGCACCUGACCCUAUACCCGCCGGUUAUUCCCAGGUUAUAUAGUAAUGGAACAAAGAGUAAUAUUAAAAGCUAAUGAUUAAUAAUGUUUAUAAUAACGAUUGAUAAUUGUCCGUGAUCAUCUCUAUAUCUAAUUUGUGUUAUGACUCUAUGACUGUUCUUAUUCCAUUUUCUUUAUUAUACUGAAACAGUUUGUGCCUUCAGUCUCUUGCCUGGGCACCUGGGUCAUCCUCCACCCACAGCUGACUUCACACCGUGCUCUUCCUUGAGCAUGUCUCAGGUUUCCGGGAAGCUGAUGUUUUUGGGAGUGCAGAAGGCUUGGGAAGUGUGGUUCCUGGUCUCUUACGUGGCCGUCUGUGGAGUAGCGUCCGGACGCUGGGGUACCGUGGGAAGGGUGGUUCCCGGUCUCUUACGUGGCCGUCUGUGGAGUAGCGUCCGGACGCUGGGGUACCGUGGGAAGGGUGGUUCCUGGUCUCUUACGUGGCCGUCUGUGGAGUAACGUCCGGAUGCUGGGGUACUGUCUCUGGCAGGGCUGUUUUCUCAGGCACCUUCUCCCACCUGGACUCAAGGGUUCUGCUUUCUUAGAAGUUUCUGUUUCCUGCUGUUUGGAAAUUCGUGAAUUGUGUGAGGUCUGAGGAGGGGGGUAACACAUUUCUGAACGUGAAGUUAUACAUUGAGGGUGGGUAGAAGCACUGUGGGCUAAGGAGGCUUCUCUGCAGGACCCCAUCAGGACGGUGUCAGGGCGUGUGGAAACACUGUAGGCUAAGUAAGCAGGCUUCUCUGCAGGACCCCAUCAGGACGGUGUCAGGGCGUGUGGAAAAACUGUAGGCUAAGUAAGGAGGCUUCUCUGCAGGACCCCAUCAGGACGGUGUCAGGGCGGGUAGAAGCACUGUGGGCUAAGUAAGGAGUCUUCUCUGCAGGAGCCGCAUCAGGACAGCGUCAGGUGACUCCAACCUCCUCUUGUAGGGGUGCCAGAGGCCCCUGUGCGCUUUACCAGGCCUGGGAGUCUCCUCUCCUCACCCCAGCUGCUGCAGGACCUCACUGUCUUGGUACAGGUCCCUGCCAGGCCCCAAUGGGGCUUCCACACUCCAGGCCCCACAGGGAGCCCCUCAAGCCUUCGCCUCUCUCGUCACAGGCCUCCUCUGCUGAAAUCUUCCCUUUUCUGGGGCUGCGGUCCUGCUCUAUGUGGGUUCAGAGGCCUAAGCCUCCCCGUGUCUCCUGGUGCAGGUCAGAGACCCAGUGGCCACUGCUCCUGCCCCACAGCAGCCCUCCAGGCCCAGGACCGGGGACGACAGGGAGCACUGACUGAAGAGGAGGCUGUCUUUGGACACGGGGAGGAUUCCAGGGCCUGUGGGGGCAGCUUCGGUGCUCAGGGCUCACACGUGUGACCCCCUCCUUCCGCUUUCCGGGGCCCCUUUGUUUUAUAAAAUGCCACAGAGGUCGAGGGGACAUGAGGGUCAGGGGGGAGGGGGGUUCCUGGACUCGGGGCCACACCCAGUAGGGCUUGGGCAGGGCUCUAGGGCCCCACUGGCCAAAAGCUUCCUGAGAUUACAGCAGUUUCCUCUUCCUGCCUCAGUGCCCCACGGACAGGGGGUGCGAUCUGAGCAGAAUGAGGUGACGUCACUGGGUCAGCGGCUCCUGUGGCAUCUGGCCAAGGACAAUGUGCUGAGAAGUUUCCCCUGAAAAAAUCAGAAACAAAACUCACCUCAGGAGAGGCCCCUGCACCCUCCAAGAGGAAGUGGGAGUCACGUGAGGCUCGUCUUGAUUGGGGUUCCUGGAGAGGAGGCCCCCUCUCCCCAGGUGGGGGCUCCUGUUUCCCCUGCUCUGCUCUGAGGUCCCCAGGGUCCAGUCCCCUCCCCACCCUAUCCUGGAGCUUGUCAAGGCCACCAGAGACCUGCUCCCUGUGCCGUCUCAGACUGGACUCUGGGGUCUCCGGUGCCUCCUCUGAUUCUGCACCUCGGUGCAGCCUCUGGCCUGGCUGCGCUCUGAGGAGCUCCCUGUGGCCACCGAGCCCUUGGAACGUGGCCAGUUCCAUUCUCAAACUGCUGUGAGUGCAAAGCUCAUGCUGGAUUUUGAAGAUUUGGGUCUCACUCUGUCACCCAGGCUGAAGUGCAGUGGCACCAUCACAGAUCACUGCAGACUCCACCUCCUGGGCUCAAGCAAUCCUCCUGUCUCAGCCUCCCGAGUAGCUGGAACUCCCAAGUAACACACACAUUAGCAUGCCCAGCUAAUGUUUAAAUUAGGGUUUUAAUUCACAGAGAAAUAAAGAGCAUCUGAGCAUUCAUCUUCCACAAAAGCAAUCUGAAAUUGUCUCUGUAAGUGGGCGCCCUGUCUUUCUGCAGGCUCAGAGUGGAGAAUGAGGUUGCAUCUCAGGAUGGCCACAGCGCCUUCCUUCCCAAGCCCUUUCUUCAGCAGCCGUGGUGGGAGCUGCAGCCGAAAAGCCCCUUUGGAGUUGCAGCUAGAGGGUGCCUUCCAGGAGCUGCUGGGCCAGCUUCACCAAUGCCUGCAGACGGUCAGGACAGAUUCAGAGAAGCUCUGGGUCAGAACGAGGGUGAAAAGCCCCUUCCUCGAGCUUCCGGUCGAACAGCCCCAUGGGGGUGCCCUGACCUUCUUGCUCUAAUGCAGCUGCUGUUCCCCGGGGCAGCGACUCCCCUUCUCUCCCUCCCAAGUGCGGCCCUGCCCUCUUCACAGGCACACACCCCACAGCACGUGCAGUGCCUCAAGGCGCCCGAGGUGCACGGGGAGGCCCAUCAGUGCUGUUCCCCAAGCCUCCAGCUUUCUUGCUGGAAUCUUUCUUUCCCACCCCUUUGCAGCUUGGCAUGAGCUUGUCACUUGAGGUGGCCAGUGAGAUGUUGUGGGCAUGAGAGGUGGUGCCAAGAGAUCAGGCGUGACUCCACCUCCCGUUCCCACCUCGGAGGCCUGGCAGCACACGCUGGGGGCUCCCCAACCUGGGCGGCUGGGCGAGGACGAGGCGCAGACCCCACACCUGCCACAGGCCCACACUGGAGGGAGUCAGCGGCUGAGGGUCGGGCCGUUCGUUACCACCGCACAGCCUGGCUCAUCCUGGCUGACUCGGGGCAGUGCUGCCCGGGCCAGGCGGAGCAGGGAGGACGUGGUGGGGUGUUUGGAAGGCGGAGCAAGAACCUAAUAAAUGUGAGCCCUGGACUCUGAGGCCGGGCAGCGAAUGUUCUGCGGGUGCUGUCUGCGGCCGGAUGUGGGUUUUGGCAUCAUGAGCUCAGGAGAGAACUGGCCGGUGGGUGAGCAGGUGCGAAAGGAAACCGAGAAAACCCGGGGGGUACUUUGUGGGUUAAAAGAGGCAACUGCCUUUCCAUCCUGACCAGCAGAAGGGAAGACUGCAGAGACCCUCGAAUGUCGAUCUCAGCGGUUGCGGCUAGGAUGGAAUCAAGAGCAGGCCACCGCACCCACCGCUGACAAAUCUCCAGCCUGGGUGACAGAGCCAGACCCUGCUGUCAGGCCUCCGAGCCCAAGCCUGGACGUGUACAUCCAGAUGGCCUGAGGCAACUGAAGAACCACAAGAGAAGUGAAAAUGGCCAGUUCCUGCCUUAACUGACGACAUUGCCUCAUGAAAUUCCUUCUCCUGGACAGCAAGAAAGGAGCUGAGGAAGCCACUCAACUCUCCAGCACCCACCCUGUGCGGCCACGGAGGACCGUGGGGAUGGGAAGUGUCCCCUCCACCAAGCACAGCCCUCAUCUCUUCCCGGAAGUUGCUCCCCGGCGUCAGCGUCCUCACCCAGCCACCCCUGGGACUUUGGAGUUGCUGCAGAGCAUGACUGCUGGGAUCUGCCUUCUUCCCUUCCAAACCGUCGAAGCCCCUGUCCCUGCUCCUUGGUUGAAUACUGGGGGCGUGGGCAGAAAACUCUUCAUCUUUUUAAUUCAGGGCCCUCCAGCUUGGGAGGAGACACAGCUAGGCUGGAUGCGGCAACUUGUGUACUUUUGACCUUCAUGUAGCUGGAGGACACCGGGUUGCCCUUGAGGAAGCAGGUGUAUUUUGCCUGCAGGAAGGGCAGUCUUCUGAGUACCUCGCAGGUGUCUGGAUGUGGUGCGCAUUAGUGCUGUUCAUCAGACACCUUCAGCUGUCCUCUGGGCAGAUGGCAGGGUUGUGUCUUCCUGUGGAGUUCCUUCCUUUCGCCUCAGUGACCACGGAGACGCAUGUCGAGGUGUGACCUCGCCUGGGCCUCUGCAUGAGGGUGGGGAGCAGAGUCCUCCUUAGUGGGAGUGGAGCGUGCACAGGACGUAAUUACGUGGGGCCAUUUGUUACGCAGCCUAACACAGCCUGUCCUGGCUGAUGCAGAUGGCCAUUGCAGCAGUCAUCUGCAGGUCCUCAGCUUAGUCUCACCCUCACUGGAGAUCUUAGCCUUGGCCUCACAGGUGCUCCAGACCUUUUCCUGGCAGAAUUUUGGUGACUUCAGAAAUAUGAUGACUGCUGAACCCACUUCUCCCAGCAUUUCUAUUUGUGGUUGCCUGGUGUAUUUAAAGUCUGUGUUGAUGGGUGCAUAUAUUUUUAACGUUUCCCUAUUGUGAAAUUUAAUAAAUUUACAGCAAAAUGUAUAAAAUACGAAAGUAAAAAACUA